GGGGAAUUAGCUCAGUGGCAGAGCGCUUCCUUAGCAAGGAAGAGGUCAUGGGUUCGAUCCCCAUAUUCUCCA
rfam:Nosema ceranae strain PA08 1199 NODE_13, whole genome shotgun sequence.